AUUGGCAGCUGAUGCGUGGACUGGUUGGAAGAAGUCCUGACUUCAAUCAGUUUCAGCAGGGAGAAAUCACAGGAAAUCACAGGACCAAGUGAUUCUUCAACUACUGGAGACGUUGAUGAGCUGUUUAAUGUUUCCGGGGAAAGUUCUCAGCCAGAAUCACUAUGGCAAGACUCUUCUACGGUAUCCACAUCCACAGUGCCACGAAAAAGGAAAAAUCGUAUGGAAGGAUUGGAGGCAGAGGAGAUUCUAAAGAAGUCAGUGUGUGGGAGAAGCAUUUUGCAACGCCUGAGUAGUAACAAGUGCCUGACUAAGCAAGACCGAUGCAAGAUGACCGCAAUACUUGUGACACAACUGAUUGAAGCACAUGGCUUACAGCAAUCACCAACAUCGAUGGAUACUUGGAGGAUAUAAAUGCAUCGGAAAGACCGCAGCUGUUUGUUCUUGCUUUAGUUGGCAGGAACAAACUCCAUCCCACCCAAGUCUUUGUGGUGAUUGAACGCUGCGCAAUCAUGAUGCCCACACUACUCCAGGCAGUUGAUGCAGCUUUCAAGUCCCACUAUGUUUUCAGUCUAGUCUACCAGCCACAGAUUAAAGCAGUGUGGGAGUUUCUGCAGUGCGUUGUCUAUGAACUACCAGGACAGGUCCAACCUGUAGUACGUGACUUGCAGGCAUACCGGAUGGCAAGCAAGCGUUAGAUACAAUUGAGAUAAAGGUCCUGUCCCAAUUGGCAGCUUUGGCUACACCUGUUGCUAAGAGGUUGCUAAGGCUGCCCGCAACCCCUUAGCAACAGCUAUAUCUGUAGCAGCCAGUUUGGACCAGCCAUACUUGAAGGUGUGAACUUGAAGGUCAGCAAGGUGUGUGUGUGGGUAUGUUCCUGCAUGGCAUUACGC
rnacentral:lncRNA from 1 species